rnacentral:rRNA from 1 species
AAAGCGUGCGCAGGCGGUUUUGUAAGACUGUCGUGAAAUCCCCGGGCUCAACCUGGGAAUGGCGAUGGUGACUGCAAGGCUAGAGUUUGGCAGAGGGGGGUAGAAUUCCACGUGUAGCAGUGAAAUGCGUAGAUAUGUGGAGGAACACCGAUGGCGAAGGCAGCCCCCUGGGUCAAAACUGACGCUCAUGCACGAAAGCGUGGGGAGCAAACAGGAUUAGAUACCCGGGU